GUGUUAACACGUAUUUUUAUGGCGCUCGCUUUGUGUCAUUUCUUUCCAAACCAAGCUUAAAGACGUGUUAACGUGCGCGUGACAUGCGCGUAAAGAACGUGCGUCUGUUAUACGCGUGGAGAACGUGCGUUUGUCUUAACGUCAUACUUAUCGUGUCUAAUUUCAAAAUAGUGCACAUAAACUGUUAUACAGUUACUUGUAUGAAGGGCUUGUGUUAUUUAGGACACCAUUCAAACAGUGAUGGCUGUAAAAUCCGAUCAUUUAAGAUAUUUUCAAAUUAGAUAAGUAAUUUCAACAGCAGAUAGAAAUAUCACAUAAAUAGCUAUUUAAAAUAGACUUUUAAAGUAAAUAUUUAACAUCCUUGAGAAAAAUCAAGGCAAUAUACUUUGAUCAAAAAGGUAAUCUCACAACAAAUGCAUGCAUUGGGACAGGAAAUAUACUAAAAUGAAUAAUAAAAUAAACUAGACUAGGCCGGGCAUCCUUAUGCUCUGUGUAUCUGUUAUAAAAAUGAAAUCCUAGCAAGCUCAUAUAAACUUGUAAAUCCCAAAAUUAAAGGAACCCAAACAUAUAUAAAACUAAAUAAAAAAUAAGACCGCCAGUAGGUGGCGGCAAGGCAUUGUUAUAUUUUGGCAAAUGUUCCACUUCUUUCAAAAGGACAUAUGAUUUUCUAAUACAAUUUUAAAGAUGAAAACUACUUACUACAGGAACAUAAUUGUAAAUAUUUUUUUAAAUCCUCAAAAAAAAAUUCUCAGUUUGCAGAUUUUCAUUAUAUUUAAAAAUUAUUUUCCAAAUUCAAUCACACAGAAUUGAAACAUGUGAAUUUAAAGUUGCUGCAUUAUAAAUUGCAAUCUAGGUAAUUAUAUGCGCUGUUGUUGGUUCAUAUGGCAUGUUAUAUUUUAAUGUUUUAAUGACAUAAUCUUGGCUGUAAAUGAUCUAUAACACAAUGUUAUCCUGUUAAUGUCAAUGUCCUGUAGAAAAUAAUGAUUUUACACCAAUAGCUUUGACUUCAAUAGUCAUGAAAUGUCUUGAGAAAUACAUGGUUUGUCUUUUAAAAACUCAGGUAGGCCACAAACUUGAUUCCUGGCAGUUUGCCUACAAAUGCCAGAGAAGCACAGGCGAUGCCAUAAGUAGCAUCACCCACCUGGUCCUUGAGGACACUAAGGCCUAUGCACGUCUUUUCUUUAUUGACUUUAGUUCAGCGUUCAAUACAAUACAGCCCUAUUUACUGUUAGAAAGUCUGAAGAAUAUGUGUGUUAGCCCCUUUAUUAUUAGAUGGUACUAUUCUUUCUUAACAAAUAGGAUGUAGUAUGUUAGAGUCAAUAAAGAAGUUUCACAACUAAAGCCUAUAAGCACAGGGGCCCCUCGGGGGUGUGUGAGUUCCCCAGUCCUCUUUACCAUCUACACAAAUGACUGCGUGAGUAAACACCCACACAAUUAUAUUGUUAAAUUUUCAGAUGACACUGCCAUCUUGGGCUUAUUAUAUAGGGAUCAAGACACAGCAUCCUAUCACUCCAAAAUUAAGCAGUUUGUAGAUUGGUGUGACGCUCACCAUCUAGUUGUGAAUGUGAAAAAGACUGAGGAAAUGAUCUUUGACCCUAGAGCAGUUUCUGAAUCAAGUUUAGUGAGUAUCCACAGCACUCCCAUACGUCAGGUCUCUUCAUAUACGUCAGGUCUCUUCUUAUAAAUAUCUUUGUGUUUUUAUGGACUGCUCACUUACAUGGCAUGUUCAUAUAGAAAGUCUUUGUUCUAAGCUCCGGCAGAGGAUGUAUUUUUUUAGAAGAUUGAGACUGUAUGGUGUCGUUAGCGGGCUCUUGUUCUUAUUUUUCCAUAUAAUCUUAGAGAAUGUUAUACAGUAUGGCAUGCAGACCUAGUAUGGCAAUUUGAAAGUUCAGUUAAAGUCCAGGUUGGGGCGUCUGGUUAAAACUGCACUAAAGAUUGUAGGUCAUUCAGACCAGGGCUACAUGCAGGCACUCUAUAAAAAGUCAGUUCUCAGGGAGGCACGGAAAAUUUUAGAUAACCCCACACACAUCUUGUAUAAGGAGUUUGUCCUCCUAUACCUUCAGGUAGACGUUUCAGAGUACCAAAAUGCAAAUUAAAUGCAUAUAAAAACUCUUUUAUUCCAACUGCCAUAAAGAUGAUUAAUGAUAAAUAGCCGGUUGUUUGUACGUUACCCACACUGUAAAUGCAAACAUGGUACUUACUUAAAAAUAGUAAAUUGACCUUAAUCAGUUUUUAUCAACCUGCUUUUAACACUUGCUUUUAGUGAGUUACUUGUACUUUGAGGUUGAAAAAUCUUACCAGCUCAGUCUACGUGAGCUGGAUUAAUAUAGAAAAAGUAAGUUUAUGACAUGUGGACAUGCGCAGAUCAGUCCUCUCUGACAUGCCUAAACCCAACCAAUCAAGGUGCUUCGUGGGGCGGGUCUUGGAUUUGCGGGAAUCGUAAUUUUGCAGACGGUCGUUAUGUCACCUCACCACAUGCUGCAACUGACCAGGUGGAGCUGGACCUAAACAUCGCUUCUACGGCACUUGUGAUUAUCUUCAGCCGAUAUUAUUUUGCUUGGCACACUCAUUUGGCUCAAGCAGAAUGGUAAUCAAUCCUCCUCACGUUCCAUAAUCCCAGCAAUAAAAGAUACUGUGGACAGUCCAUCAUACCCAGGACUACAGUAUCCUAGAUGCCAACCACAUAAUGGAAGAAAUGAAGAAAAAACAACCAAAUGUGGCACUCUCAUUUCACAAAUGAUGGACCAAUCAUUCCCACUAUGCAGACAAGAAAUUGUAAAAAACAAGGGCCUGCUGUACAGAACAUGGUUAAACGAUGGCCAGCACUUUUCAAAGAGAGACAGGUGUUUGCUGAGUUUAAUAGAAUCGCCAGUAAGAAUCUUGAGGGAGACUUGAGGCUUUGGACCAGUAUUCCCCACGUUUCAUCAAACUUUUUAAAACCAAAAGAGAAACUCAAGGACUGAGUUGGCCAGAAACUCAAGGAGCUGAUGCAGCACAUGAACUGGCUGACACCAGACGUGACAGUACUUCGCUCAUUUGUCCUCAAAGGCAUGACGACUCCAGUGAAUUCUACAAGACCUGCUCUGAUGCAGCGAGAGACAAGGCUCUAGAACGCAUCACUGUUGGUGUCCUGACGGUUGUCAGUGAAGAUAGUCCUCACGAAGCUUAGUGGUCCUCCAGCCCAUCUCCACUGCCAUCAUUCUGGAGGGAGGUAUUGUUAUGGAUAAUGUUAAGAACUUGCCUCAAGUCUUUUGUUUGGGCUUACAUAUGCAUUGCAUUUGGAUUACCCAAAAUGCAUGGCAAAUACACUCAACUUCAUUCAGACUCGACUCUGAUGCUUGGACUGGGAAAGAAAAACCUCCCACCAAAACGGUUGACUCUGAAGAACAGUCUUCUGGGUUAGAACAAUAAAGAGCUGUCAGAUAGCACUUUGUAGCUAUUAAUGUUUUCAUGCAACUGUAUUUGCUUCUGAUCUUAAUAAAAAAAGAAAUUCUAUUAAAGUCUGUAAUGUUAUGCAGGUAUGCUAAUGUUGGAAACAGAGCCACCAUGUUUUAUUAAGAGUUGUUUAUUAAGUGUUAGUAUUAGAUAAUAAUGUCAGAAAAUAACCUACCGCGGUUGUACUGUUAACAUUUGUGUUUUAGGAAAGCUUUUUAUAGUUGUAAUGUAGUACAAAUACAAACCCCAAGGAGUGAUGUUUUUGUUUGUGUUGCUUUAAUCCUUUCACUGCUCACUUUGGGACACAAAAGCAUUUGUUGUACUUUCAGUUUAAAAUGCAAUUUUUAACUGAAUACAAUUUUUUAAUGUAAAAAAAGUUAAAUUUUAACUGUCUGCAUUUAAAUAAACCACAACUUUGUUUAGCUGCUGUUAUGUACGUGAAUGUGCAUUGAAUAAAUGAUGUAAUGUAGCUGAAUCAAGUGAGUGUUCUUUUAAAUUACAUGUUUGUGAUGUGUUUAUUAGAUCGUAACAACAAAACAAGGACGGAUUAAAGGAAAUUGGUUUCUUUGAGUAAGCAGAACUAAAAAUAUUAAGUUGUAGGUAUUCAGUAAUUCUAAGUGGGGUUUAAAUGAAAA